rnacentral:rRNA from 1 species
AUUGAACGCUGGCGGCAUGCUUUACACAUGCAAGUCGGACGGCAGCACAGAGAAGCUUGCUUCUUGGGUGGCGAGUGGCGAACGGGUGAGUAACAUAUCGGAACGUACCGAGCAGUGGGGGAUAACUAAUCGAAAGAUUAGCUAAUACCGCAUAUCUUCUGAGGAAGAAAGCAGGGGACCAUUUGGCCUUGCGCUGUUUGAGCGGCCGAUAUCUGAUUAACUAGUUGGUGGGGUAAAGGCCUACCAAGGCGACGAUCAGUAGCGGGUCUGAGAGGAUGAUCGGCCACACUGGGACUGGGAACCGGCCCGGACCCUUACGGGAGCCACAGUGGGGAAUUUUUGACCAUUGGCCGAAACCUUGUCCAGCCCUGCCGGGUUGUUUGAAGAAGCCUUUCGGUUUUUAAAGGAUUUUUGCAGGGAAAAAAAGGGCCGGGUUAAAACCCCUGUCUGAUGACGGUACCUGAAGAAUAAGCACCGGCUAACUACGUG